ensembl:ncRNA ZK792.9 ncRNA
AGCACUAAUAGAGAAUAUACGGUAACUUGGGUGCCGCUAAACCUAGGCUUGCCAAAAUUUUGCCCAACAUUUGCCUUAAUACUUUUUAGGCCAAACUUGGGCAAGAAACUAGCGAGAAAUGAAAUAAAUUUUGGCAUCUUUAGAAGCUUC